GUGGGGAAUAUUGGACAAUGGGCGCAAGCCUGAUCCAGCCAUGCCGCGUGAGUGAUGAAGGCCUUAGGGUUGUAAAGCUCUUUCAGUGGGGACGAUAAUGACGGUACCCACAGAAGAAGCCCCGGCUAACUUCGUGCCAGCAGCCGCGGUAAUACGAAGGGGGCUAGCGUUGUUCGGAUUUACUGGGCGUAAAGCGCACGUAGGCGGAUCGUUAAGUCGGGGGUGAAAUCCUGGAGCUCAACUCCAGAACUGCCUUCGAUACUGGCGAUCUUGAGUCCGGAAGAGGUGAGUGGAACUCCGAGUGUAGAGGUGGAAUUCGUAGAUAUUAGGAAGAACACCAGUGGCGAAGGCGGCUCACUGGUCCGGUACUGACGCUGAGGUGCGAAAGCGUGGGGAGCAAACAGGAUUAGAUACCCUAGUAGUCC
rnacentral:rRNA from 1 species